GUCAGUAGUUUAUGUUUAUUCUCAGAAAAGUAUUGAAUUAUUACAUUUCUGUGCAUCAGACUAAAAAAAAUGACCAUCACAGAAUUGCUUGGGGAAAAAUAUACAAGGAAAAGUAAUUUCUCUAAAUAAAUACAAAAGAAAUAAUUCAAGGGAUGAGGGACAUUUAAAAAAUCCACUAACUAGAAAACUACUUGACCCAGGUGCUUCAAUUUUUUAUAGGUCUACCAAUCUACUUUGUGAUUAGGGAUAGUUGCAAAGGCACCCAGCACACAUGCUCUCUUCUUGGCCAGAAAAAAACUUGGCUGUGAAGGGUGGAUAAAUUGAAUGAAAACAUCUUGCUCUGCUUUCAAAACAGUCUUUGGCUGCUAUACAUAAAAAUGAGUGCCUUAUAAAACUCAUAAUGACAAAAUGUGAAAAAUGAUCAUCAGAAAUUUGGGAUAUAAUAUAUAAUAUUAAGAGAAAUCUGCUUCUUCUAAUUAAGUGAGUUUAUAUUUUGUACAUGGUGUCAUGGCUGAAGAAAUUAUACUGAAGUUGGGUCUAAAUGUGGGUUUUUGUUUUGUGGUAGGGGUUUCAUAUUCGAUCUGUAAUCUCUGUAAAACCUUUCACCUGAUUUGGACUGGGUUUUUUUUUUUUUUAAAAAAGAUGUGCCCUGUAUAUGAGAAAUUAUCAACAAACAUCAGUUCAUCAACUCAAAAUUAUGAUUUCCACAGAUCUGGCAUCGGGGAUUGGAGUUACAUCAUUGUAUGUUAGCUUAAGUUAUCCUCAUGUUCAUAGAGCCAUACUACCAGAUACUUAAUAACAAUUGAAUGCCAUGCUUAAGUAGUUUUUUAAUAGCACGAUUUUUAAAAGGGCUACUAGGAAAAGCAUUUGAAAAGAUGUUUUUGAGAAGAUCUAUUGAUUGGUGUGAGGGAUUUGAUGAGCUAACAUGAAAUGAACCUAUUGUUAAUUUUAAAGAAUUUAUACAGUAGUAAUUUAUAUAGCAAUCAAAUUGGUAACUUUAAUUGUGAGCCUUGUUAUGGAGUCAAAAAGGACAGUAUCCAUUCCUCUCAAAGAUUUUUUUUUUUCAUUGUUAUGACUUGUUGGAACUUUUGAUGGUCGAAAGUGUUUAUUCAUUGUGAUUUUACCUACUAUAAUGAGUUAAAAUAUCUACUACUGUUAAAACCGGAUAUGAUAGAUCCAAGUAUGAUUUUAUUUUUUGUAUGAAAACUUAUGUAAUAAUGUUUUUAUGAGCUAAGAAGAAAAAUCAGCUUUAGUGUCAUUUUCUGGUAAUUCAAUGAGUUUUAAGUGAGUAAUAAUCUGUUUUCAUCAAGGAAAUUAGUCUGAAAAGUUUCACAGCUUUCUCUGUGGUUUGACUGUUUUUAUUGUAUAUUAGAAAAAAACAGGAGGUGGAGGAAGAAGAAACUUGUCUUAUAUUUAUUUAGCAAACCAAAUCUCA
ensembl:lncRNA